rnacentral:rRNA from 1 species
AACGAACGCUGGCGGCAUGCCUAACACAUGCCAGUCGAACGAGACCUUCGGGUCUAGUGGCGCACGGGUGCGUAACGCGUGGGAACCUGCCCUUAGGUUCGGAAUAACUCAGAGAAAUUUGAGCUAAUACCGGAUAAUGUCUUCGGACCAAAGAUUUAUCGCCUUUGGAUGGGCCCGCGUAGGAUUAGCUUGUUGGUGGGGUAAUGGCCUACCAAGGCGACGAUCCUUAGCUGGUCUGAGAGGAUGAUCAGCCACACUGGGACUGAGACACGGCCCAGACUCCUACGGGAGGCAGCAGUGGGGAAUAUUGGACAAUGGGCGAAAGCCUGAUCCAGCAAUGCCGCGUGAGUGAUGAAGGCCUUAGGGUUGUAAAGCUCUUUUACCAGGGAUGAUAAUGACAGUACCUGGAGAAUAAGCUCCGGCUAACUCCGU